rnacentral:rRNA from 1 species
UGGCGGACGGGUGAGUAAUGUCUGGGAAACUGCCUGAUGGAGGGGGAUAACUACUGGAAACGGUAGCUAAUACCGCAUAACGUCGCAAGACCAAAGAGGGGGACCUUCGGGCCUCUUGCCAUCGGAUGUGCCCAGAUGGGAUUAGCUAGUAGGUGGGGUAAAGGCUCACCUAGGCGACGAUCCCUAGCUGGUCUGAGAGGAUGACCAGCCGCACUGGAACUGAGACACGGUCCAG